UACGUAGGGCGCAAGCGUUAUCCGGAAUUAUUGGGCGUAAAGAGCUCGUAGGCGGUUUGUCGCGUCUGCCGUGAAAGUCCGGGGCUCAACUCCGGAUCUGCGGUGGGUACGGGCAGACUAGAGUGAUGUAGGGGAGACUGGAAUUCCUGGUGUAGCGGUGAAAUGCGCAGAUAUCAGGAGGAACACCAGUGGCGAAGGCGGCACUCUGGGCCGGUACUGACGCUGAGGAGCGAAAGCGUGGGGAGCGAACAGG
rnacentral:rRNA from 1 species